UUAAGCAUAUCAAUAAGCGGAGGAAAAGAAACUAACAAGUAUUCCCUCAGUAACGGCGAGCGAAGCGGGAAGAGCUCGAGCCUGAAAUCUCUGGCAGYUGCUGUCAGCGAAUUGUGGCCGGGAGAGGCAGCUUAAGCUCUGACUGGUGCUGUCGAAGUUGACCUGGAAAGGCACGUCCUAGAGGGUGAGAGCCCCGUGUGCGGCACCGCCGGGCAGAGCUGCUACUGUCUUCGGAGAGUCGGGUUGUUUGGGAAUGCAGCCCAAAGUGGGUGGUAAACUCCAUCUAAAGCUAAAUACUGGCACGAGACCGAUAGCAAACAAGUACCAUGAGGGAAAGGUGAAAAGCACUUUGAAAAGAGAGUCAAAAAGACCGCGAAACCGUUAGGAGGGAAACGAAUGCGGCUGAAUCGGCUCUGUUUCAGGCUCGGGAGACGACGGCGUUCACGUCGUUCUGGGUAAGCUUCGGCGGCCCGGGGCGGAUGAGGCGCCGUCUCCUCUGCAUUCCUGUAGAGAGCCGGCCAACGACGGUUGCUUCCGGCUCGGAAGGGCGGCCGGGUAGGUGGCUUCCUUCGGGAAGACCUUAUAGCCGGCCGUCUGGUAGACCGGAAGCGACCGAGGAGAGCUGCGGAUCUUCGCACGUGCAGUGCAAGCCCCUCGGGGCCGCGCCGCCUCUGUUCGUCUGGGCAUCGGGCCGUGGACUGCUUGCAGUGUUCGGUGACGACUGUCUGCUCGUGCGGGGGGUCGGUGACGUGUUGCGCUGCGGUCGUUGGUGCUCGAAUGGCUGCAUCCGACCCGUCUU
rnacentral:rRNA from 1 species